GAUGAACGCUAGCGGCAGGCUUAAUACAUGCAAGUCGAACGGGAAUUGGGUAGCAAUACCUGAUGAUAGUGGCGCACGGGUGCGUAACGCGUAUGCAACCUACCUUUAACAGGGGGAUAGCCCGGAGAAAUUCGGAUUAAUACCCCAUAGUAUUAUGGAGAGGCAUCUUUUCAUGAUUAAAGUUCCGGCGGUUAAAGAUGGGCAUGCGUGCCAUUAGCUAGUUGGUGAGGUAACGGCUCACCAAGGCGACGAUGGUUAGGGGUCCUGAGAGGGUUAUCCCCCACACUGGUACUGAGACACGGACCAGACUCCUACGGGAGGCAGCAGUAAGGAAUAUUGGUCAAUGGGCGAAGCCUGAACCAGCCAUGCCGCGUGCAGGAAGACGGCCUUAUGGGUUGUAAACUGCUUUUGUCAGGGAAUAAACCCUCGUUUGCGAACGAGGCUGAAGGUACCUGAAGAAUAAGCAUCGGCUAACUCCGUGCCAGCAGCCGCGGUAAACUGUAG
rnacentral:rRNA from 1 species